rnacentral:tRNA from 1 species
GCCAUCUUAGCUCAGUUGGUAGAGCGGUUCAUUCGUAAUGAACAGGUCGCGGGUUCGAUUCCCACAGAUGGCU